ACUCAAAGGAAUAGACGGGGGCCCGCACAAGCGGUGGAGCAUGUGGUUUAAUUCGAUGCAACGCGAAGAACCUUACCUACCCUUGACAUCUAUAGAAUUUUACAGAGAUGUAGAAGUGCCGAAAGGAGCUAUAAGACAGGUGCUGCAUGGCUGUCGUCAGCUCGUGUUGUGAGAUGUUGGGUUAAGUCCCGUAACGAGCGCAACCCUUAUCCUUAGUUACCAGCACGUAAUGGUGGGGACUCUAAGGAGACUGCUGGUGAAGAACCGGAGGAAGGCGGGGACGACGUCAAGUCAUCAUGGCCUUUAUGGGUAGGGCUACACACGUGCUACAAUGGGGCGUACAGAGGGUAGCCAACUCGCGAGAGGGAGCCAAUCCCAGAAAGCGCCUCGUAGUCCGGAUCGGAGUCUGCAACUCGACUCCGUGAAGUCGGAAUCGCUAGUAAUCGCGAAUCAGAAUGUCGCGGUGAAUACGUUCCCGGGCCUUGUACACACCGCCCGU
rnacentral:rRNA from 1 species